rnacentral:rRNA from 1 species
GACGGAGGGUGCAAGCGUUGUUCGGAAUUACUGGGCGUAAAGCGCACGUAGGCGGCUUUGUAAGUCAGAUGUGAAAGCCCCGGGCUUAACCUGGGAAUGGCAUUUGAGACUGCAUAGCUAGGGUGCGGAAGAGGGAAGCGGAAUUUCCGGUGUAGCGGUGAAAUGCGUAGAUAUCGGAAGGAACACCAGUGGCGAAAGCGGCUUCCUGGUCCAGCACCGACGUUCAGGCACGAAAGCGUGGGGAGCAAACAGG